rnacentral:rRNA from 1 species
GAUGAACGCUGGCGGCGUGCUUAACACAUGCAAGUCGAACGGUGAAGCAGAGCUUGCUCUGUGGAUCAGUGGCGAACGGGUGAGUAACACGUGAGCAAUCUGCCCCUGACUCUGGGAUAAGCGCUGGAAACGGCGUCUAAUACCGGAUACGAGCUGCGAAGGCAUCUUCAGCAGCUGGAAAGAAUUUCGGUCAGGGAUGAGCUCGCGGCCUAUCAGCUUGUUGGUGAGGUAACGGCUCACCAAGGCGUCGACGGGUAGCCGGCCUGAGAGGGUGACCGGCCACGCUGGGACUGAGACACGGCCCAGACUCCUACGGGAGGCAGCAGUGGGGAAUAUUGCACAAUGGGCGAAAGCCUGAUGCAGCAACGCCGCGUGAGGGACGACGGCCUUCGGGCUGUAAACCUCUUUUAGCAGGAAAGAAGCGAAAGUGACGGUACCUGCAGAAAAAGCGCCGGCUAACUACGUGCCAGCAGCCGCCGUAAGAC